CCAGACUGGGGUGACUCGGGGUGCUGCAGUGUUAGAUGGGGGCUCCCGAUAGGGGCCACCUGGCAGCUGUGGCUCAAAGAAUAGCCCCCAAGUAAAAUGUGGCGCUGAAACAUACCUUCCUUCGGCAAAUUUGAAGAAGCAGAUGCCUCGUCUGGCCUGGAGGCAGGAGUCGGUCUGGCUUUCUUCAGUUUCUUCGCUUGGGGUGGAAGAGAAGACUGGUGUUUGGGGGCCAUGCUGGGGGAAAAAAGCCAAGAACCCUCACAGGAGAAGAAAGAGGAACUGCGAGCUCAGAGAACUGAAGCAGUCCCAGGGAACCGAAAGGGGUGACCCAUACAGUGGAGUGAGCUGCAACUGUGGAAUCAAACGGGGAAUCAGAGCCAGGUGGUGAAGUGAAAUAAGCAAAGUCCUACCAAGUAGGUAGUAUGUUACCAUUUGCGUAAAAGGGAGGGUAGGAAAAAAAUACACAUUCACUUAUUUGCCUGUAUACCUGUAAUAGCUCUUAAAGGACUCCUGUGACCCUGAUAACUCGGUCAACCCUGGGGAGGGAACUGGGUGGUGAGAAAUGAAAGGACAGGGAUACAGGGAGAUGUUUCACUCUUCACCCUGUUGUACAUUUUGAACCUUCUAUAUCUAUGUUGUUUAGUCACUAAGUCGUGUCUGACUCUUUUG